rnacentral:rRNA from 1 species
GACGAACGCUGGCGGCGCGCCUAACACAUGCAAGUCGAACGAGAGAGAAGGAGCUUGCUUCUUCGAUCGAGUGGCGAACGGGUGAGUAACGCGUGAGGAACCUGCCUCAAAGAGGGGGACAACAGUUGGAAACGACUGCUAAUACCGCAUAAGCCCACAGGUCGGCAUCGACCAGAGGGAAAAGGAGUAAUCCGCUUUGAGAUGGCCUCGCGUCCGAUUAGCUAGUUGGUGAGGUAAUGGCCCACCAAGGCGACGAUCGGUAGCCGGACUGAGAGGUUGAACGGCCACAUUGGGACUGAGACACGGCCCAGACUCCUACGGGAGGCAGCAGUGGGGAAUAUUGCACAAUGGGGGAAACCCUGAUGCAGCGACGCCGCGUGGAGGAAGAAGGUCUUCGGAUUGUAAACUCCUGUUGUUGAGGAAGAUAAUGACGGUACUCA